UUAGCUGCUUUAUUAGUAGGUAAAGAUUAUGGGAGAUAUCUGAUAUGUGGGCCAUGUGCCCACAACGAUAUUAAAUUUAUUUUUUGUGGGGGAGGGCCCGCCACAGUGGCUUGCUGCUGGGGCCCUCGGGUGUCGCCCAGUGCGUUGCACUAUUGCCCGGGCAGGCGCACCCCAA
rnacentral:snRNA from 16 species